GGGAGAGCCGCGGAAGGAGACGGGAGGAAGAGUAAGAUAUAUAGACAACUUGGAACAACAGCUACAUUUUAUAAGUGUAAAUAAACUAAAAUCUGGGGAGAAUAUCAACUGGCAUGAAGGAACUUAGAAAUCUUGGUGAUGAACAUGAUAGUUUUUCUUCGCUAGCUGGGAUCGUCUGGAAUUAUCCCUUAUAGUGGAAUACCAGCAAUACUGAAUACUGGUUGGGUGGAUCAAUGCUGCAAGGUCCCUCGGAAAACUUCCUUCCGUAUUUCCAUUUAUUGCUGUUGCUGACAUAUCUUAAAAGCCAUUAUUAGUUUUUGGUUUGUGGAACUUGGGAUUUUGUACAAAUAGAUCAGUUAUGAUACGAACAGCUCAUAUGACAUUUUGAAGAGAGCAUAUUCAUACCAAAGGCUUCCACCUAGAAAGUUUAGAAACAACUGUCCUUCCAACAGUUAAAUUCUUGAGUGCCACAGAGAGGUAUUGGGGUUUUCCUGAUGUUCUUGGCUUGGAUCUAAACUUCAUUCUGAAGCUCCAGCUCAGAUAAAAAUCCCAGUGAUAUCUGUAGGAGUUUGCCAACAUAAGGGCUUCAGGAUUCAUCCUCUCUUUGACUAUGAACAAAUUUUUGCCACUGUUUCCACUGAAGAUUAAACAGGUUAGGAAGAAUGAGUUUGUAAUUGUCCUUGCCUUGAGUAUCAUCAGUGUAGUUGCCAGCUAAGCAGGAACUGCAAAACCUUUAUAAUUGAGGAAGUUUGAUUUGCAGAGCCUAGUUGUAGUUUGUGGCACCGGAAGUUAGAAAACCAGAGCAAGAUUCUUUCCUCUGCUGAGAUCUGCUCUGUGCAAGGGACAGCAGGCUGUGGGAGUCCGUUGCAACUCCCUGAUUCUCCACCUUGCACAACUCCAGCCCUAACCCUGGCAUAGGGUAGAAUGACCUAGGGGCUGCUCUGACCUAUGCUAGCUGGCAACAAUUCCUAAGGGACUACAGGACAUCUGAGAAAUGAAGGAACACAGCUAGCUGUGAUCCGUCUACAUUCGCAGGAUGUCCUCUACACUGGAGUUGAGGUAGGGGUGUGGCUGUAGGAGUGUUGUCUAUACGUGCAGAGAGUUUCCUUCCACUCACUGAGAGUAUUCACAAUUGGCCAUGUGUGGUCAAUGUUCUGCAGUACCUGAGUGGCACAAAGGGGUGGAUCAGGGGAGAGAAUCAGGCCCAUAACUUUUUAUUUAUUUAUUAGCAAAAGUCAUAGCCUUGUUCUGAUCCCACAUCAGAACGCGGCUGUAAGUCAAGGAAGUUAAACUAGUAUAGAACUGGUGAGACCAGAAUGAAGUGGAUUGAUAAAGAAUACAUUUGGGAUCCCAUUUAUUUUUUAGCAGAAUCACUUUUCAGAAUAGAACUGUGCUGCAUGUGGCUAUGAAACUUUGAUGCCCUUUGUUUUCAGAGUAUUAGACCUUAUUUAAAAGCACACCUCCCAUGUGCAGAGUUUGUCAGCCAGUUUAUUCUCAGAUACUGUGACGACGAGAGACACAUACAGUGUGUUCACUCACACAAACUUUUGUUCUUUCUUACUUUGUUGUUCUUCUCAAUGUAAAACAAACACAAAGAUCUGUUUGGUCUUUGUGCACGGAGAAGCAUAACAACAACCCCCCUGUAAAGAUGAUUUUGGACCUUUAAAAGGUUGGGACUGGCUCUGUCAUGCUCUAUGAACUUCAAGAUUCAAAAAACCCAGGUGGAGUAAACUGAAAUAGUGGCUACAUGUGGGAAACAACUCAUAGUAUAUGAAAUAUAACUGUUUUUGACCUCGUAGGAGUUAAUGGCAGUUUGAUUUCCUCAGCCAUAUCCUCUUUGCCACAGACAGCAGAAGUCAUCAUGGUGAAACAGACUUUCAAUGGAAAAUCAUCCUGCAGCUUCAGCUAAAGCAGAGAUUUGUGACAGGAUAAAACCCCAAGGUAAUUUUUAAGAGGAAGAUUCUUAAUGACCUCUCCCAGCUUGUGAGGCAAAGGAUUUCACGUUCCAAGUGGUUUAUGAGUCUUGCACCUGCAGGCCAGCAUAGUAAUCAGUAGCAUGACAAAUGUAGGGCUGGAUCUUGCAACCUCACAUGAGCUAUCUUUACUCAUACUUGCAGUCCCACUGAGCCUGAUCCUAAUCCCCUUAAUCAGGGCCUGAUUCUGAUCCCAUUGAAGCCAAAUAGCUUAGCUAUCGAUUUCCAUGAAAAUGGGGCUUGCUUAGGAAAAACUCCUGUAGAAGGCAGGGAGAAUUUUUCCUCAGUAACGGUGCAGCAGACAAUAUUGAGAAUAUGGCUUACUGAGUUAAUUGGUACAACUCAGUUGAGUAAGGGAUGUAGGAUAGGGAUUUGAACCAGUAUGGAAAAUGUUGCAUGCUGGGAGAGGAUCAAAUCUCAAUUGUCACUUAUUCAUAAGUCUCCACAAUAAGGAACUAAAAUUACAUUGUCCAGAUCACAUUAUUGAUGUAUGUAUCAGUUAAUAACAUGAGUAACUGGAUGUGAUAGCAACCAGACAUCUAAUAUGAGGUGAUCAAUAUUUCAAAAUGAAGCCUUGUCAAUGCAAAAUACAUUAAGAAAUCUCAAAGUAUCUGUUUCUGUAUAUAUAGUAUUUAAUUAAACUGAUUUAUUCUCUUACAAAGAGACCAGGUCAAUAUCCUCAUCUAGAAAUAAAAACCAUAGCUUGUUAUGCAUUAAAAAGAGACCUGCAUAUUUGGCUCUAAUGUCAUUUCUCUUUUUAAUGUUAUAAACAGGUAUUGCAAAUAUUGUGAGGCCUGGAAGCCUUUUAUCCAAUUAAACUGAGUAGGACUUUUCUCCAAGCACUGUAUUUUGCACAAGAUAGAUUUUUGGAUCUAAAUUUAGUUAGUUACUCUCAUUGUAUUAUUCACGUCUCAUUAUAAUACUUCAUAGAGUUACUCUGACAGUGCCUGAAAGCAUAUAUGAUGUAUACAACUCUUUUAAAAGUCAAAAGAAAGCAAGGGGACGAGGUGGACGAGGCUGUCUUCAGGCAACUAACAAAAGUUACUAGAUCACAGGCCCUAGUUCUCAUGGGGGACUUCAAUCACCCCGAUAUCUGCUGGGAGAAC